AACGAACGCUGGCGGCAGGCUUAACACAUGCAAGUCGAGCGCCCCGCAAGGGGAGCGGCAGACGGGUGAGUAACGCGUGGGAACGUACCUUUUGGUUCGGAACAACUCCGGGAAACUGGAGCUAAUACCGGAUAAGCCCGCACGGGGAAAGAUUUAUCGCCGAACGAUCGGCCCGCGUCUGAUUAGCUAGUUGGUGAGGUAACGGCUCACCAAGGCGACGAUCAGUAGCUGGUCUGAGAGGAUGAUCAGCCACACUGGGACUGAGACACGGCCCAGACUCCUACGGGAGGCAGCAGUGGGGAAUAUUGGACAAUGGGCGCAAGCCUGAUCCAGCCAUGCCGCGUGAGUGAUGAAGGCCUUAGGGUUGUAAAGCUCUUUUGUCCGGGAAGAUAAUGACUGUACCGGAAGAAUAAGCCCCGGCUAACUUCGUG
rnacentral:rRNA from 1 species